GGGAGACUCAGGGCGGAGUUAAGAAAGGCCUGAAACUGCCUGAAGAUGUUUGGUAACAACCCAUGCACAGAUGUGGAGAACAAGCCAAGUUUGUUGAAGCCAGAGACUGAGGCUCAGUGUCCCAGCAAAGACUGGAAGAUCAAGGCACCUCUGUAACAAAGGACCUGGGGAGACUGGCGUGGUGAUGGGUCUAGGAAAACUGCUGGGCCUCAAGUCCUGUUUUCUCAGAAUACACAGGCUAAAUCCCUCGGAGGACUUGAGGAGCAGCCGUGCAGAGAUGUUCUGGCAGAAAUCCUUGGCCUUUGUGCUUGACUCCACCUCAAAAGCCUAGUGGGGAG